rnacentral:rRNA from 1 species
GGCGACCGGCGCACGGGUGAGUAACGCGUAUGCAACCCUCCUAUCAGAGGGGGAUAACCCGGCGAAAGUCGGACUAAUCCUGCAUAAAACAGGGGCACCGCAUGGUGAUAUUUGUUAAAAAUUUAUUGCUGAUAGAUGGGCAUGCGUUCCAUUAGGUAGUUGGAGAGGUAACGGCUCACCAAGCCUACGAUGGAUAGGGGAACUGAGAGGUUGGUCCCCCACACUGGUACUGAGACACGGACCAAACUCCUACGGGAGGCAGCAGUGAGGAAUAUUGGUCAAUGGGCGAGAGCCUGAACCAGCCAAGUCGCGUGAAGGAAGAAGGAUCUAUGGUUCGUAAACUUCUUUUGCAGGGGAAUAAAGUGCAGGACGUGUCCUGUUUUGUAUGUACCCUGAGAAUAAGGAUCGGCUAACUCCGUGCCAGCAGCCGCGGUAAUACGGAGGAUCCGAGCGUUAUCCGGAUUUAUUGGGUUUAAAGGGUGCGUGGGUGGUUUAAUAAGUCAGCGGUGAAAGUUUGCAGCUUAACUGUAAAAAUGCCGUUGAAACUGUUAGACUUGAGUGUAAAUGAGGUAGGCGGAAUGCGUGGUGUAGCGGUGAAAUGCUUAGAUAUCACGAAAAACUCCGAUUG